rnacentral:rRNA from 1 species
UACAGAGGGGGCAAGCGUUGUUCGGAAUUACUGGGCGUAAAGGGCGCGUAGGCGGCCUUCUAAGUCGAACGUGAAAUCCCCGGGCUCAACCCGGGAACUGCGUCCGAUACUGGAAGGCUUGAAUCCGGGAGAGGGAUGUGGAAUUCCAGGUGUAGCGGUGAAAUGCGUAGAUAUCUGGAGGAACACCGGUGGCGAAGGCGACAUCCUCGGACCGGUAUUGACGCUGAGGCGCGAAAGCCAGGGGAGCAAAGCGGG